GAGAGGUACCAGAUAAACACUAUUUAACCACUAUUGACCACAUCUCAGGAGAGGUACCAGAGAAACACUGUUUAAUCACUACUGACCACAUCUCAGGAGAGGUACCAGAUAAACACUAUUUAAUCACUACUGACCACAUCUCAGGAGAGGUACCAGAUAAACACUAUUUAAUCACUACUGACCACAUCUCAGAGAGGUACCAGAUAAACACUAUUUAAUCACUACUGACCACAUCUCAGAGAGGUACCAGAGAAACACUGUUUAAUCACUACUGACCACAUCUCAGAGAGGUACCAGAGAAACACUAUUUAAUCACUACUGACCACAUCUCAGGAGAGGUACCAGA